rnacentral:rRNA from 1 species
UACGGAGGGUGCAAGCGUUAAUCGGAAUUACUGGGCGUAAAGCGCACGUAGGUGGUUUUCUAAGUCAGCUGUGAAAUCCCCGGGCUCAACCUGGGAACUGCAUCCGAAACUGCCUUGCUCGAGUAUGGGAGAGGGAAGUGGAAUUUCCGGUGUAGCGGUGAAAUUCGUAGAUAUCGCAAGAACACCAGUGGCGAAGGCGGC